rnacentral:rRNA from 1 species
UACGUAGGGGGCUAGCGUUGCUCGGAAUUACUGGGCGUAAAGCGCACGUAGGCGGCUUGUUAAGUCGGGGGUGAAAUCCUGGAGCUCAACUCCAGAACUGCCUUCGAUACUGGCGAUCUAGAGUCCGGGAGAGGUGAGUGGAACUGCGAGUGUAGAGGUGAAAUUCGUAGAUAUUCGCAAGAACACCAGUGGCGAAGGCGGCUCACUGGCCCGGUACUGACGCUGAGGUGCGAAAGCGUGGGGAGCAAACAGG